GGCCUGAUAGCUCAGGGGUUAAGAGCACUAGACAUGUAAUCCAAAUUUAGUGGUUGCUGGUUCAAAUCCAGCUCAGGUCA